ACUAAGCGUACACGGUGGAUGCCCUGGCAGUCAGAGGCGAUGAAGGACGUGCUAAUCUGCGAUAAGCGUCGGUGAGGUGAUAUGAACCGUUAUAACCGGCGAUUUCCGAAUGGGGAAACCCAGUGUGUUUCGACACACUAUCAUUAACUGAAUCCAUAGGUUAAUGAGGCGAACCGGGGGAACUGAAACAUCUAAGUACCCCGAGGAAAAGAAAUCAACCGAGAUUCCCCCAGUAGCGGCGAGCGAACGGGGAGGAGCCCAGAGCCUGAAUCAGUGUGUGUGUUAGUGGAAGCGUCUGGAAAGGCGCGCGAUACAGGGUGACAGCCCCGUACACAAAAAUGCACAUAUUGUGAGCUCGAUGAGUAGGGCGGGACACGUGGUAUCCUGUCUGAAUAUGGGGGGACCAUCCUCCAAGGCUAAAUACUCCUGACUGACCGAUAGUGAACCAGUACCGUGAGGGAAAGGCGAAAAGAACCCCGGCGAGGGGAGUGAAAAAGAACCUGAAACCGUGUACGUACAAGCAGUGGGAGCCUCUUAAUGGGGUGACUGCGUACCUUUUGUAUAAUGGGUCAGCGACUUAUAUUCUGUAGCAAGGUUAACCGAAUAGGGGAGCCGAAGGGAAACCGAGUCUUAACUGGGCGUUAAGUUGCAGGGUAUAGACCCGAAACCCGGUGAUCUAGCCAUGGGCAGGUUGAAGGUUGGGUAACACUAACUGGAGGACCGAACCGACUAAUGUUGAAAAAUUAGCGGAUGACUUGUGGCUGGGGGUGAAAGGCCAAUCAAACCGGGAGAUAGCUGGUUCUCCCCGAAAGCUAUUUAGGUAGCGCCUCGUGAAUUCAUCUCCGGGGGUAGAGCACUGUUUCGGCAAGGGGGUCAUCCCGACUUACCAACCCGAUGCAAACUGCGAAUACCGGAGAAUGUUAUCACGGGAGACACACGGCGGGUGCUAACGUCCGUCGUGAAGAGGGAAACAACCCAGACCGCCAGCUAAGGUCCCAAAGUCAUGGUUAAGUGGGAAACGAUGUGGGAAGGCCCAGACAGCCAGGAUGUUGGCUUAGAAGCAGCCAUCAUUUAAAGAAAGCGUAAUAGCUCACUGGUCGAGUCGGCCUGCGCGGAAGAUGUAACGGGGCUAAACCAUGCACCGAAGCUGCGGCAGCGACACUGUGUGUUGUUGGGUAGGGGAGCGUUCUGUAAGCCUGUGAAGGUGGCCUGUGAGGGUUGCUGGAGGUAUCAGAAGUGCGAAUGCUGACAUAAGUAACGAUAAAGCGGGUGAAAAGCCCGCUCGCCGGAAGACCAAGGGUUCCUGUCCAACGUUAAUCGGGGCAGGGUGAGUCGACCCCUAAGGCGAGGCCGAAAGGCGUAGUCGAUGGGAAACAGGUUAAUAUUCCUGUACUUGGUGUUACUGCGAAGGGGGGACGGAGAAGGCUAUGUUGGCCGGGCGACGGUUGUCCCGGUUUAAGCGUGUAGGCUGGUUUUCCAGGCAAAUCCGGAAAACCAAGGCUGAGGCGUGAUGACGAGGCACUACGGUGCUGAAGCGACAAAUGCCCUGCUUCCAGGAAAAGCCUCUAAGCAUCAGGUAACAUCAAAUCGUACCCCAAACCGACACAGGUGGUCAGGUAGAGAAUACCAAGGCGCUUGAGAGAACUCGGGUGAAGGAACUAGGCAAAAUGGUGCCGUAACUUCGGGAGAAGGCACGCUGAUAUGUAGGUGAAGCGACUUGCUCGUGGAGCUGAAAUCAGUCGAAGAUACCAGCUGGCUGCAACUGUUUAUUAAAAACACAGCACUGUGCAAACACGAAAGUGGACGUAUACGGUGUGACGCCUGCCCGGUGCCGGAAGGUUAAUUGAUGGGGUUAGCGGUAACGCGAAGCUCUUGAUCGAAGCCCCGGUAAACGGCGGCCGUAACUAUAACGGUCCUAAGGUAGCGAAAUUCCUUGUCGGGUAAGUUCCGACCUGCACGAAUGGCGUAAUGAUGGCCAGGCUGUCUCCACCCGAGACUCAGUGAAAUUGAACUCGCUGUGAAGAUGCAGUGUACCCGCGGCAAGACGGAAAGACCCCGUGAACCUUUACUAUAGCUUGACACUGAACAUUGAGCCUUGAUGUGUAGGAUAGGUGGGAGGCUUUGAAGUGUGGACGCCAGUCUGCAUGGAGCCGACCUUGAAAUACCACCCUUUAAUGUUUGAUGUUCUAACGUGGGCCCCUAAUCGGGGUUGCGGACAGUGUCUGGUGGGUAGUUUGACUGGGGCGGUCUCCUCCUAAAGAGUAACGGAGGAGCACGAAGGUUGGCUAAUCCUGGUCGGACAUCAGGAGGUUAGUGCAAUGGCAUAAGCCAGCUUGACUGCGAGCGUGACGGCGCGAGCAGGUGCGAAAGCAGGUCAUAGUGAUCCGGUGGUUCUGAAUGGAAGGGCCAUCGCUCAACGGAUAAAAGGUACUCCGGGGAUAACAGGCUGAUACCGCCCAAGAGUUCAUAUCGACGGCGGUGUUUGGCACCUCGAUGUCGGCUCAUCACAUCCUGGGGCUGAAGUAGGUCCCAAGGGUAUGGCUGUUCGCCAUUUAAAGUGGUACGCGAGCUGGGUUUAGAACGUCGUGAGACAGUUCGGUCCCUAUCUGCCGUGGGCGCUGGAGAACUGAGGGGGGCUGCUCCUAGUACGAGAGGACCGGAGUGGACGCAUCACUGGUGUUCGGGUUGUCAUGCCAAUGGCACUGCCCGGUAGCUAAAUGCGGAAGAGAUAAGUGCUGAAAGCAUCUAAGCACGAAACUUGCCCCGAGAUGAGUUCUCCCUGAGACUUAGAGUCUCCUGAAGGAACGUUGAAGACGACGACGUUGAUAGGCCGGGUGUGUAAGCGCAGCGAUGCGUUGAGCUAACCGGUACUAAUGAACCGUGAGGCUUAACC
rnacentral:rRNA from 1 species